CAGUCGCCGCGGGAAUACGUAGGGUGCGAGCGUUAAUCGGAGUUACUGGGCGUAAAGCGUGUGCAGGCGGUUGUGUAAGACAGGUGUGAUAUCCCCGGGCUUAACCUGGGAACUGCGCUUGUGACUGCACAGCUAGAGUAUGGCAGAGGGGGGUGGAAUUCCACGUGUAGCAGUGAAAUGCGUAGAGAUGUGGAGGAACACCGAUGGCGAAGGCAGCCCCCUGGGCCAAUACUGACGCUCAUGCACGAAAGCAUGGGGAGCAAACAGGAUUAGAGACCCCUGUAGUCCCUGUCUCUUAUAA
rnacentral:rRNA from 1 species